rnacentral:rRNA from 1 species
UCCGGUUGAUCCUGCCGGACCAGACUGCUAUCAGAGUUCGACUAAGCCAUGCAAGUUUUUCCGCAAGGAAAGCGAAAGGCUGAGUAACACGUGGGUAAUCCGCCCUUAGGUGGGGUAUAACCUCGGGAAACUGAGGAUAAUCCCCCAUAGGUUUUAGUUACUGGAAUGUUCUAAAACCAAAAGCUUCGGCGCCUAAGGAUGAGCCCGCGACCUAUCAGGUUGUUGGUAGUGUAAUGGACUACCAAGCCAAAGACGGGUAGGGGCAGUGAGAGCUGAAGCCCCCAGACGGGAACUGAGACACGGUCCCGAGCCCUACGGGGUGCAGCAGGCGCGAAACCUCCGCAAUGCACGCAAGUGUGACGGGGGGACUCUGAGUGUUUUCAUUUUUUUGAAAACUUUUCUGAAGCGUAAAUAACUUUAGGAAUAAGAGCUGGGUAAGACGGGUGCCAGCCAUUAGUUGGGUGAAGAAAAUUCCCAACAAAUUCUAUUUGCCCGCUAACUGGAAGCCGCGGUAAUACCCGCAGCUCAAGUUGUCUGGACUAUUAUUGGGUCUAAAGCGUUCGUAGCCGGAUAAGCAAGUUCUUUGUGAAAUCCAAUAACUUAAUUAUUGGACGUGCAGGGAAUACUACUUUUCUUGGGACCGGGAUGGGCCAAGGGUACUUUUGGGGUAGGGGUGAAAUCCAAUAAUCCCAAAGGGACCACCUGUGGCGAAGGCGCUUGGCUAAAACGGGUCCGACGGUGAGGAACGAAAGCUAGGGGAGCGAACGGGAUUAGAUACCCCGGUAGUCCUAGCUGUAAAUGAUGCAAAUUAGGUGUUGCACGCUCUUCGUGAGUAUGCAGUGCCGAAGGGAAGCCGUUAAAUUUGCCACCUGGGAAGUACGGUCGCAAGGCUGAAACUUAAAGGAAUUGACGGGGGAGCACAACAAGGGGUGGAGCUUGCGGUUUAAUUGGAUAAUACGCCGGAAAUCUCACCAGGAGCGACAACAGAAUGAAGGCCAGGUUGACGAUCUUGCCAGACUUGUUGAGAGGUGGUGCAUGGCCGCCGUCAGUUCGUGCCGUAAGGUGUUCUGUUAAGUCAGACAACGAACAAGACCCACGCCAUUAGUUGCUAGUCAUUCUUUCGAGAGUGAUGCACUCUAAUGGGACCGCUGGUGAUAAAUCAGAGGAAGGGGUGGGCAACGGUAGGUCAGUAUGCCCCGAAUCUCUUGGGCUACACGCGAGCUACAGUGACUGGAACAAUGAGCUGCGACGCCGAAAGGCGAAGCCAAUCCCUAAAUCCAGUCUAGGUUCGGAUCGAGGGCUGUAACUCGCCCUCGUGAAGCCGGAAUCCCUAGUAAUCGAAGUUCAUUAGGCUUCGGUGAAUAUGUCCCUGCUCCUUGUACACACCGCCCGUCAAAUCACCUGAGUUGGGCCUGGAUGAGGCAUUAUCUUUUGGUAGUGUCGAAUCUGAGCUCAGCAAGGGGGGUUAAGUCGUAACAAGGUAUCCGUAGGGGAACCUGUGGAUA